rnacentral:lncRNA from 1 species
UUUCCUUUAUGCAAUGGACAUGAGUAAGAAGUUUCAGAAUUAUUCUAUUCCUGUACAGAUUAUGUACGCUUUGAUUAUCAACAUGUUAGCUCAGAUAUAUAUUCUGUUAAGUUGAUUUCUAAAUGGUUAUACAAGUGUCCCCACUUGGAUAAUCAUGGCAUUUAUUCACAUGUUGAUAUACCUUUGUCAAUUACCCGUAUACAUAUAUGUUGAAUUACAUAUUAUUGUUGAGCAAGAUUAAAAACCUUCGGGUUUGGAACCAGGCAUGUAUGAACAUCCCGAUAAUGGGAAAAUUUUUAUGCGCUUCGGCGGACAAAGGGUGAGCGAUGAAUUUCGUUCAAGUUAUGUAGUAUUGAUCAAUACAGGGUACAACGGGGCUGAUCACCCUCCGUGCCCGUAAGUUAUGACGGUUUGCGGAUGAAUUUCUGCUAAACCUUUUCGAAAAUGAAAAACAAUGUUCAUAGUAUGUUUCUUAAACCCUAUUCAUGGGUGGAGCCUAAUUUCAAGAAAUUGAAAGAGAGUUGUUAUGUGAAUCUUUUAUCAGUACAGAUUACUUCACAACUUUUGAUUCGUUGUAGAAGUGUUAUGUAAAGAGAAUACUUAUAUUCUUUCAGCUUAUAUAUAUAAUUGUUAUUACUUGCUGGGCACUCAAAUGCUCAUCCUUGCUUAAAUUAAAUGUUUUCAGUUAUGUAUGAGCAACCUGAAGGUUCAGGAACGCAUAAAGGGAAAGAAAAGCUGUUCGAAUGAGAAUUAGUAUGAGUUAAUGGUUAUAGUUAGUAAGACAAUGGAAUCUAUUGUCAGGUAUUGUAAGGAAUGUAUUUGAAGGUCACGUACCUGGGGAAAGUAAACUUUGAUGUAUGUAAAUUAAGUUCGAAUUAUAUUAUUAUUUAGUAUUUUUCAGCUUAAAGAAAUGGUAUCGUGGAGAACCGAGUUCGGG